rnacentral:rRNA from 1 species
CCUACGGGACGCAGCAGUGGGGAAUAUUGCACAAUGGGGGAAACCCUGAUGCAGCGACGCCGCGUGAGGGAAGAAGGAUUUCGGUAUGUAAAACUCUAUCUGCAGGGAAGAAAAUGACGGUACCUGAUUAAGAAGCCCCGGCUAACUACGUGCCAGCAGCCGCGGCAAUACGUAGGGGGCCAGCGUUAUCCGGAUUUACUGGGUGUAAAGGGAGCGUAGACGGCAGCACACGUAU